rnacentral:rRNA from 1 species
CACGGAGGGGGCCAGCGUUGUUCGGAAUUACCGGGCGUAAAGCGCGCGUAGGCGGCUUGGCAAGUUGGGGGUGAAAGCCCGAAGCUCAACUUCGGAAAUGCCCUCAAAACUGCAUGGCUAGAGGCAGAGAGAGGAGAGCGGAAUAUCCAGUGUAGAGGUGAAACUCGUAGAUAUUGGAUGGAACACCGGUGGCGAAGGCGGGACUCUGGCUCUGUACUGACGCUGAGGUGCGAAAGCGUGCGGAGCAAACAGG